rnacentral:lncRNA from 1 species
CAGCCUGGCAGUAUUGAACCUGUUGCUGCAUUAGCCGAGUUGUAUUUUGCUAGAUAGGGGAAGGAGGGUUGUCUGCUGUCUGGUAGGAGGGCUUUGUCUGUGUGCGCCUUUCUCUCUCUCCCUCUCUCGCUCUCCCUGUCUCUCGCACUCUCGCUCGCUCUCGCUCGCUCUCUCUCGCUCGCUCUCCCUUUCCCGUCUCUGUGGUUUGUAAGGUAGGUUGCAGUGUGUGUAUAUACACAACAUCAAGAGCAGGAAAAUGGACUCAUUAGGGAGGCAGGCAGUCAUUACCACUCACACUGUACUUCCAGGGAGACAGCGACUAUGAGGAGACAAACUGAGGACUGGGGAACAAGCAGCACAAGAGAGAAGUGUUGAGAGCUGCUCUUAACCCUUUUGGAGUCCGAAGUCAAAAGGGAACUGGAGGGCUUGACGCAUCCUUUACAUCCUGCAUUUACUCUGACCACAGUCCCUCCCUGUUCUCACAAGUAGAGCUCAGCCCUGCUUCCCUUCCUGUUGAUUCCCAGUCAGCUACAUGACUGCCUGAAGUUACAUUGUAGAUGCUGAAAUCACUGCACCUUAAAAACAAAAAGAUUAAGCUGCACUGCGUUCCUGUAAGUAAAAGCUUUUCCGGUACCUUUUGU